rnacentral:rRNA from 1 species
AGACAGAGGGUGCAAACGUUGUUCGGAAUUACUGGGCGUAAAGCGCGUGUAGGCGGCUUAGCAAGUCGGAUGUGAAAGCCCACGGCUCAACCGUGGAAGUGCACUCGAAACUGCUUCGCUAGAGUCCUGGAGAGGAAGGUGGAAUGCUUGGUGUAGAGGUGAAAUUCGUAGAUAUCAAGCGGAACACCGGUGGCGAAGGCGGCCUUCUGGACAGUGACUGACGCUGAGACGCGAAAGCGUGGGGAGCAAACAGGAUUAGAAACCCCGGUAGUCC